CCUACGGGAGGCAGCAGUGAGGAAUAUUGGUCAAUGGCCGUAAGGCUGAACCAGCCAAGUCGCGUGAAGGAAGAAGGAUCUAUGGUUUGUAAACUUCUUUUAUAGGGGAAUAAAGGUAUCCACGUGUGGAUCUUUGCAUGUACCCUAUGAAUAAGCAUCGGCUAACUCCGUGCCAGCAGCCGCGGUAAUACGGAGGAUGCGAGCGUUAUCCGGAUUUAUUGGGUUUAAAGGGUGCGUAGGUUGUUUUUUAAGUCAGAGGUGAAAGUUUGUGGCUCAACCAUAAAAUUGCCGUUGAAACUGGAAGACUUGAGUGUGUUUGAGGUAGGCGGAAUGCGUGGUGUAGCGGUGAAAUGCAUAGAUAUCACGAAGAACUCCGAUUGCGAAGGCAGCUUACUAAGCCAUAACUGACACUGAAGCACGAAAGCGUGGGGAUCAAACAGGAUUAGAUACCCCUGUAGUC
rnacentral:rRNA from 1 species